AUCCUACAGUGCUGUAGAAUACUAGAACUUACCCCUUCUAUCUAGCUGUAAUUUUGUAUUCAAUAACCAUCCUCUCCCUUCUCCUUCCCUGCCUCUAGUAACCAGUAGUCUACUUCUAUGAGCACAACUUUUGUGCCUCCCACAUGAGUGAGAAUUUGUGAUUUGUGUCUUUCUGUGCUUCUCAUACUUCACUUACAUAAUGUCCUCCGG
rnacentral:lncRNA from 10 species